AUUGAACGCUGGCGGCAGGCCUAACACAUGCAAGUCGAACGGCAGCGGGAAGUAGCUUGCUACUUUGCCGGCGAGUGGCGGACGGGUGAGUAAUGUCUGGGAAACUGCCUGAUGGAGGGGGAUAACUACUGGAAACGGUGGCUAAUACCGCAUGACGUCGCAAGACCAAAGAGGGGGACCUUCGGGCCUCUUGCCAUCGGAUGUGCCCAGAUGGGAUUAGCUAGUAGGCGGGGUAAUGGCCCACCUAGGCGACGAUCCCUAGCUGGUCUGAGAGGAUGACCAGCCACACUGGGACUGAGACACGGCCCAGACUCCUACGGGAGGCAGCAGUGGGGAAUAUUGCACAAUGGGCGCAAGCCUGAUGCAGCCAUGCCGCGUGUGUGAAGAAGGCCUUCGGGUUGUAAAGCACUUUCAGCGAGGAGGAAGGGGUUGAACUUAAUACGUUCAAUCAUUGACGUUACUCGCAGAAGAAGCACCGGCUAACUCCGUGCCAGCCGCCGCAGUAA
rnacentral:rRNA from 1 species